rnacentral:rRNA from 1 species
UGGGGAAUAUUGCACAAUGGGCGCAAGCCUGAUGCAGCCAUGCCGCGUGUAUGAAGAAGGCCUUCGGGUUGUAAAGUACUUUCAGCGGGGAGGAAGGGAGUAAAGUUAAUACCUUUGCUCAUUGACGUUACCCGCAGAAGAAGCACCGGCUAACUCCGUGCCAGCAGCCGCGGUAAUACGGAUGGUGCAAGCGUUAAUCGGAAUUACUGGUCGUAAAGCGCACGCAGGCGGUUUGUUAAGUCAGAUGUGAAAUCCCCGGGCUAAAACAGGGAACUGCAUCUGAUACUGGCAAGCUUGAGUGACGUAGAGGGGGGUAGAAGUCCAGGUGUAGCGGUGAAAUGCGUAGAGAUAAGGAGGAAUACCGGUGGCGAAGGAGGCCCCCUGGACGAAGACUGACGCUCAGGUGCGAAAGAGUGGGGAGCAAACAGG